rnacentral:lncRNA from 1 species
GUUCAUUAACUGCACGGUGGCCAGGAACAUUCAGGAAUCCACCAGACCGGAAGGUUCCAGAAUCACCGAGUUAUACUUCAGUUUCAAGGAUCAAAAAACUCAGUGAGAACACACCCCCAUACACCCAUGGAAGCACAGACUUAGGGUAAGUAGUCAACCUCAGUGAGCUAGCAAAGAUAAAACCAGUCCCAGACCACGGGCCCUUCAGCCCAUGCCCGUCCAUCUGAGGACACGGGUUUUCAGAAGGACCUUUUGGUGCCUACGCAGGUGGCCUCACUGAGCAACAGCUUUGCCCAGAUCAGUUUCCUGUGACUUCAUUUUAGUGCUGUUUGAUGACACUGGUGCUAGAGCAUCCAUGUGGCUCUGUGACUUGAUCAUCCUGAGGCGACUAGGAGCCGAGGGCAAGGGAAAACAGGUGAGAAGAGCAAAAUGAGAGGGUGAAUGAAACUAGGAAAGGAGAAAAACAGAGACCAGGAGAGAAAACAGCAUUACAUGAUUUCUGCAUGAAGUAGGACUCUUUGGGUUCUAAAAGAUAAAAUAAUAAUAAUAAUUCUCGAGAUGGCUUUAGGGGAAAAAAAAGUUGGGAGUACCAGGAGAGGCUAGCUGAAAUUAAAAGUUCAAGGAGCUUCAGGUACAGCUGGAUCCAGGUGAUUAUACCAGGUCCCAACUGUGUCUCCCUGUCUGUCUCUUGGCUCUAGUUUUUCUCUGCAUUAACUCUGUUCCCAGGCAGGCAGAAAAGUGACUAAUCAGGAGGCAGUUUCCAAACCUCUCAGUACCUCCAGGGACAGAAUCAUUCUUCCCCCUAACCACUCAAACAAAAGACUUGGGAUUGAGUCUCUUUGGGUCAAUCUAUGCAGAUUGCUUGGUCUGAUGUCUACCUCCAGAGUCAAGAGAAAACCUCGAGGACUAGAAGUGAGGCAAAUCUACUGCCCAAAACAUGAUUCUUUGUCACCUAAGAAGACAAGAUGGAUACAGGACCGGGAAGAGAAGAGAUCAAGAGGGCACAACUUUUCCAGAUGACUUCAUAUGCGGGGAGCGGGGGCUUUCAGAGCCCACGACGUGGCUCCCUCGUGCACACCCACCCGGCACAUGUGCUCCCCUGGUUCGCAGGCCCCAGGGCGGGGGAGGUGAGCGUGGCACCCAUCUACCCUGGCACUGCACACACACACUCCAAGGAUGCCGCACGCUUGCCGAGAGGUUCAAGCAGGGAGCAGAACCCAGCGUGGCCCUGACUCUGUUCCCGGCCCUGGUCAGGUCUCCAUGAUUGACAUCUAAUCCUGAAGAACCUGGCAGGUCCCUCCCCCUCCUCCCUUGUCCCCUCUUCUAUGCACACCCAAGGUGCUUGGAAGAGAUAAGGAGUCUCUAAGAGCGUAGAAGGCCCCAGGUGUGCAGGUGGGCGGCUCUGGGGUGCUGUGGGACGUGAAGGACGUGCAGCUUUUGAAGCAAUGCUGGGCCCUUGUCAGAGCAGAUAACUGCCCGUCCAGACAGAAAGCAAAUCAAUAACUGGUGAGGCCCGGGUUUCCCGUCAGACAGGCGCUGCCCACGCCAAGGUCCUCUCGGGCUCCCUGUUGCACUUCUGCUGAGGGAAGGGUGAGGUGGAGAAGAGCCAGAGACACGAGCAUGGAAGGGGGUCUGCAGCGGGGCUUUGGGACCCACUUUAUGCCACGUCGUCAGGAAUGAGCACAGGGUAAGACCCAGCAGCCUUCUGGGUGGGGGGGAGGUCCUUCGCUGCCCCGGUCCCAGAGAGCUCAGGCUGCAGCCACAGAUAAACCAACUGCUAGAGAGUAAACAAGAGGCCACAGCAGCUUAAGAGCUACACACCUGGUCUCGUGUUUCAGAGUUGACCAGCUGCUGAGCUCAAGGACAGUUUCAAGGACACAGGGACCCUUGGUCCAGCUGGGACCCAACACCAAAGCCAUUUCCAAAAUCACACAGUAGCCCUGGCCAAAGGGGAGUCCCACAGCUCUCCUGACCCACCCAGCAGAGACGGCCCCAGGGAGAAGGUGGCCUCCUCCGGCCCGUGGUGCCACCUGGGCAUGUGAGCGGGACCACGCAUUCACUGAGGAAGAUCCGCGACGGGUGCCAGGCUGGGUUCCUUCUCUGAUUCUCACCUGGAAACCAAGACACACCCAGGGGCCCGAGCAUCCUGCCGCAGGACCUGGCCCAACAUGCAAUCCUUCCUGCAGAUGACCUUGUAGGUGGCUGGGAAGGUCAUGGUGCUCUUGGAGCACCAGCUGGGUGUGUGUGCACCCUAGGGCAGGGACCCCCACUGCUCUGCUGCACUGAGGCACUGGCCCUCGCCCUGGGCUCCGGCUGUGGUGUAGCUCACUGUGUGUGUGUGGCCACCAGCAGGGCCCCUGUGAGGUGCAUGUGGCUGCACAGGAGGCCUCUGGGAGGGGUAGUUACCAAGACACUCACCGUGUGGAAGUGUACCCCACAGUAAUUUGCAUGGGUUACAGCUCAACCGCAUGUUAGUCAUUCGUCGAUCUCAACUUUCUGUAUUUGUGUUAUAUUCAAUAUAAAAAAUUUUUAAAACACAUGAGCAUUUAGGGCUUCGGUACCACGUUCUCCCUGUUCCUGUGCCCUGCGUGAGUGGCCAGUGUCUUGCUCUGGUCUGUUCAGCCUUAGGGUCAACCUCAGGCAGCCGUGGAGUCGGGGGUCCUCCGCUGGGUGCCGCAUGGCUGGCUUGGG